rnacentral:rRNA from 1 species
CGGGCUUGAAUUGCAGUCGCUGCCCACAGAGACGUGGGCUUCCCUUCGGGGCGUCUGUGAAGGUGCUGCAUGGUUGUCGUCAGCUCGUGCCGUGAGGUGUCGGCUUAAGUGCCAUAACGAGCGCAACCCCCUUUCCCAGUUGCCAUCGGGUGAUGCCGGGCACUCUGGGGACACUGCCACCGCAAGGUGCGAGGAAGGUGGGGAUGACGUCAAAUCAGCACGGCCCUUACGUCCGGGGCUACACACGUGUUACAAUGGCCGGUACAGAGGGACGGUGCAAUGCAAGUUGCAUCCAAUCUUGAAAUCCGGUCCCAGUUCGGACUGGGGUCUGCAACCCGACCCCACGAAGCUGGAUUCGCUAGUAAUCGCGCAUCAGCCAUGGCGCGGUGAAUACGUUCCCGGGCC